rnacentral:lncRNA from 1 species
UGUAAGUACUACAUAUUGAAUAUGGAUUUGAAAAGAAGGUAUUUGUUAUUUGCUUUUGUUUUUAGAUUUUUCUUCUCCAUCCUGUCUCUCGUGAGUAGCAGGUAUAACUCUGGAAACAUGAAUAUGUUUGAAUGAACGUAUGAGUCAACUGGGCUAACAUCAAAAUUAGAAUGACUCUGGAUCUAAAUAGCCACUUAUGUUAAACAUUAGAUAAUUGCUUCUACAUGGAUGGAAACCAAGAUGAAAUGUGUCAAGAAGGAUUUAUUUCAAAAGAGUGCAUUCUUAAAAGAUUUCAAAGCAUCAGAUAACAAACUGAUGCUUCAGGAGGGAAGGAGCUUUAGUUUCAAGUUCUUUGGGGAGUUGCUCCAAGUAUUAACUGCUGGCCAGGGUGUCAUCACCAAGGAUGUGGCUGCAAGAGGGAAGAGGAGAUGGGGAGAUUCAGCGAGACACACAAGCAGAGGCAGGUCCUGUCUGAAGGAGAGGGACAAACUCAGCUUUCUGAUACAAAUGGUGAGUGAGAUUCUGUCAAGCUCCAAUUUGUGGUGGUGGAGGAGGACUGAUUCUGGAUAUUCCUUUGCAGAGCAAAUGUAACAGCCUCCUAUCACCUCUCCUGUGUCUUGCUUUCCAAAGCCAGG